CACGGAGUGGGCAAGCGUUUUCCGGAUUUACUGGGUGUAAAGGAAGCGUAGGCGGCUAUGCAAGUCAGAUGUGAAAACCCGGGGCUCAAGCCCGGGACUGCAUUUGAAACUGUGUAGCUAGAGUGCAGGAGAGGUAAGUGGAAUUCCUAGUGUAGCGGUGAAAUGCGUAGAGAUUAGGAGGAACACCAGUGGCGAAGGCGACUUACUGGACUGAAACUGACGAUGAGGCUCGAAAGCGUGGGGAGCAAACAGG
rnacentral:rRNA from 1 species